UACAGAGGUCUCAAGCGUUGUUCGGAUUCAUUGGCGUAAAGGGUGCGUAGGCGGCGCGGUAAGUCGGGUGUGAAAUCUCGGAGCUUAACUCCGAACUGCAUUCGAUACUGCCGUGCUUGAGGACUGGAGAGGAGACUGGAAUUUACGGUGUAGCGGUGAAAUGCGUAGAUAUCGUAAGGAAGACCAGUGGACGAGGCGGUCUCUGGAACAGUUCCUGACGCUGAGGCACGAAGGUCAGGGAGGCAAACGGG
rnacentral:rRNA from 1 species